rnacentral:rRNA from 1 species
AGACGACGCUGGCGGCGUGCCUAAUACAUGCAAGUCGAGCGGGCUUAUUCGAGUAGCUUGCUAUUUGGAUAAGUCAGCGGCGGACGGGUGAGUAACACGUGGGUAAUCUGCCUCGUAGUCUGGGAUAACAAGCCGAAAGGUUUGCUAAUACCGGAUGAGUUCAUGUUAUUGCAUAGUGACAUGAAGAAAGGGGAGACCCGCUAUGAGAUGAGCCCGCGUCCCAUUAGCUAGUUGGUGGGGUAAAGGCCUACCAAGGCGACGAUGGGUAGCCGGCCUGAGAGGGUGGACGGCCACACUGGGACUGAGACACGGCCCAGACUCCUACGGGGGGCAGCAGUAGGGAAUCUUCGGCAAUGGGCGGAAGCCUGACCGAGCGACGCCGCGUGAGGGACGAAGGCCUUCGGGUUGUAAAGUUCUUUUGUCCGGAAAGAAAAGCGCCGGGUUAAUACCCUGGUGUCCUGACGGUACCGGAAGAAUAAGCACCGGCUAACUACGUG